GAUGAAGAACGCAGCGAAACGCGAUAGUUAAUGUGAAUUGCAGAAUUCAGUGAAUCAUCGAGUCUUUGAACGCACAUUGCGCCCCUUGGUAUUCCGAGGGGCAUGCCUGUUCGAGCGUCAUUAUAACCCCUCAAGCUCAGCUUGGUGUUGGGGCCUGCUGCACUGGCAGCCCUUAAAAUCAGUGGCGGCGCCAUCUGGCUCUAAGCGUAGUAAUUCUUCUCGCUAUGGAGUCCUGGUGGAUGCUUGCCAUCAACCCCCAAUUUUUCUAUGGUUGACCUCGGAUCAGGUAGGGAUACCCGCUGAACUUAAGCAUAUCAAUAAGCGGAGGA
rnacentral:misc_RNA from 1 species